rnacentral:rRNA from 1 species
UACGUAGGGUGCGAGCGUUAAUCGGAAUUACUGGGCGUAAAGCGUGCGCAGGCGGUUUUGUAAGCCAGAUGUGAAAGCCCCGGGCUUAACCUGGGAAUGGCAUUUGGGGCUGCAAGGCUUGAGUGCGGCAGAGGAGACUGGAAUUCCUGGUGUAGCAGUGAAAUGCGUAGAUAUCAGGAGGAAUACCGAUGGCGAAGGCAGGUCUCUGGGCUGACACUGACGCUCAUGCACGAAAGCGUGGGGAGCAAACAGG